ACGAUUGGAAGGACGUUUCAACUGGGGAGAAAAAUUCUCCACGUGCAAAAGUUUCUGCCAAAUUCAAGAAUACAGAAGAGAGAGCUGAAAGUACAUGGUAUCUGGAAAAGAAUCCUGAUAAAUUGAAAGUAGUGAUUCAGAAGCUCUUCAUGUUUGCAUUUACGUGGGCGUUUGGAGGCGUUUUACAACAUGAAAGUGACCCUGAAGGUGAGACGGUGCUGUAUCGAAGCUGUGAUCCCAGUUCAGCCGCCAGAGUCACUUACGGCUUUGACAAUCUUGUCCGCAGACUGUUUGAAAACCCACAAGUAGGCAUCAGCCUACCAACUGGUAAGCAUUCGAUCUUUGGGUAUUUUGUGGAUUUACAGCAAUGCGAAUUCAUACCAUGGUCAGACUUACUUCCUAGUAUUCAGACCCUCAUUC